GCCUGGAUAGCUCAGUUGGUGAGAGCAGGGUGCCAAAAAUACCGAGGUUGCGAAUUCGAUUUCCGGUCAUUUCAGGGG